UACGUAGGGGGCAAGCGUUGUCCGGAUUUAUUGGGCGUAAAGAGCGUGUAGGCGGCCUGACAGGUCUGCUGUGAAAACUCGAGGCUCAACCUCGAGAUGUCGGUGGAAACUGUCUGGCUAGAGUCCGGAAGAGGAGAGUGGAAUUCCUGGUGUAGCGGUGAAAUGCGCAGAUAUCAGGAAGAACACCCGUGGCGAAGGCGGCUCUCUGGGACGGUACUGACGCUGAGACGCGAAAGCGUGGGGAGCAAACAGG
rnacentral:rRNA from 1 species